UUAACUCAAAUUUGUAUGGAGUUGGAACGUUUGACGCUAGGGGCGCUGUUCCAAAUGCAUACAAAUUUGAGUUA
rfam:Bombyx mori DNA, contig: Bm_scaf4_contig3478, strain: p50T/Dazao, build 2, whole genome shotgun sequence.